rnacentral:rRNA from 1 species
UGGGGAAUAUUGCACAAUGGGCGCAAGCCUGAUGCAGCCAUGCCGCGUGUAUGAAGAAGGCCUUUGGGUUGUAAAGUACUUUCAGUCGGGAGGAAGGUGGUAAGGUUAAUAACCUUAUCAAUUGACGUUACCGACAGAAGAAGCACCGGCUAACUCCGUGCCAGCAGCCGCGGUAAUACGGAGGGUGCAAGCGUUAAUCGGAAUUACUGGGCGUAAAGCGCACGCAGGCGGUUGAUUGAGUCAGAUGUGAAAUCCCCGGGCUUAACCCGGGAAUUGCAUCUGAUACUGGUCAGCUAGAGUCUUGUAGAGGGGGGUAGAAUUCCAUGUGUAGCGGUGAAAUGCGUAGAGAUGUGGAGGAAUACCGGUGGCGAAGGCGGCCCCCUGGACGAAGACUGACGCUCAGGUGCGAAAGCGUGGGGAGCAAACAGG